AGACCAUUCUCACGUGCACAAAUGACUAGUAGUUCGAAAUGUGAGGUGUUAUGCUGACAGAUCGUGGGAAUUGCGCUUUCUCUGCGAUCAGUUACCACACUGAAAAUCGACUUUCUCAAGAAACAAUUGACUCCAGAAAAAGCUCUUCGUGAUGCAACUAUCAUACAAGACGGCAGAGGAAAUGUAUGACAAACAGGUAGGAUCACAGGAAGCUGUUGAUCUGCGUCAUGGACAGUCUGUUGCCACAGAACACAGUUUUUCAUUAGCCUAAAAUAGAAGCAAUCCAUGAUCCAUUUUAACAUAAAACAGGAAUAACUUGUUCUGAACACUCAUUCUGUAAACUCUAACUACAAUCUGUUCCUCUCUAUAGAUCAAGGAAUAUGAACAAUCCAGGACAUUUGUUGUUGUGAAUUCAGUUAAUAUGUAGUGGUGAGCUAAUAUUUAGUGGUGGAAGUUUUGAUUGAUGUCUACAGUCAAUGUUAUUAAUUAAAUUUAUAUAGUAAAUGUCGAUUGAUUAUUGCAGUUAAUAUUUAUUGAUUUAAUACAUUUCAUAUUUCUUUGAUUAAUUAACACAGUCAAUAUUGUAAAUAGAGUCAACGUAACUUCUUAUUCUGGUUGUUGCAGAUUCUAGAUGAGUAACCUGGAUAACUUCCAUUGUUGCACCUGCCAGAAGACGAAUUACAUGUGUGGUUUAGGCAUAAUUCACCUAUGUUUUGAUUAAUUAACAUUUUCUGGAUCUCGAUAAGUUCAUCUUUUGAGAUUAUCCACAGAGUUACACAGAAAGUGCCUUUUCUUCAGGGAGCUGCUGUGACCAUUUUUCUGAAGAAAUGAGUGCAACUAAGUUUGUAUAGCUGCAUUGCAUUUUGACUCGUAGUGCUUUUAGCUAUUGUACUUUGUACAUUUGAUAGAUUAUUUGCAGGAUCUUUUGGGAGACCAGCCAUGCUGAAAGAGAUUUCUGAAUAAAUUUGCAUACAUGAUGGUGUAUCUAUUUA